GGUAACCCCAAAGGAGUGAACCUGAGAACACAAGAUUGCAUUUGAAAUUUGCCCAAUCGAUUUUUGUUUUGUUGGGAUUAAUUCAACAUAUUGCUCUUUGUGUUCUCAGGUCACCCCUUUGGAGACACU
rfam:Cucumis sativus cultivar 9930 chromosome 5, whole genome shotgun sequence.